rnacentral:rRNA from 1 species
GUACUGUGAAGGAACGGUGAAAAGGACCCCGGGAGGGGAGUGAAAAAGAACCUGAAACCAUAUGUUUACAAGCUGUGGAACCACUUUAUAUGUGGAACCGCGUACUUUUUGUAGAACGGUCCGGCGAGUUGCGCCGGCUGGCGAGGUUAAAUCCUAUAGGGAUGGAGCCGAAGGGAAACCAAGUCUUAAUAGGGCCAGAGUCAGUCGGAGCAGACCCGAAACCGGGUGAUCUAUCCAUGUCCAGGUUGAAGUUGCCGUAAAAGGCAAUGGAGGACCGAACCCACAUCCGUUGAAAAGGGUGGGGAUGAGGUGUGGAUAGGGGAGAAAUUCCAAUCGAACCCGGAGAUAGCUGGUUCUCCUCGAAAUAGCUUUAGGGCUAGCCUCAUAUAAGUCUUGCGGAGGUAGAGCACUGAAUUUCCUAGGGGGCGUCAAAGCUUACCGAAGAAUAUCAAACUCCGAAUGCCGUGUAGAUGUUGUAUGGGAGUCAGACUGUACGAGAUAAGUUGGACAGUCAAAAGGGAAAGAGCCCAGACCUGCAGCUAAGGUCCCAAAAUGUGUGUUAAGUGGAAAAGGAUGUGGGAUUUCAAAGACAACUAGGAUGUUGGCUUAGAAGCAGCCAUACAUUCAAAGAGUGCGUAAUAGCUCACUAGUCGAGAGGUCCUGCGCCGAAAAUGUCCGGGGCUGAAACACACUGCCGAAGCUCAGGAAUGAUCCUAGAUCAUUGGUAGAGGAGCAUUGUAUACGGGACGAAGCAGUACCGAUAAGGAGCUGUGGACUGUAUAGAAGAGAGAAUGCCGGAAUGAGUAGCGAGAGGAAGGUGAGAAUCCUUCCGGCCGAAUAUCUAAGGUUUCCAGAGUAAAGCUGAUCUGCUCUGGGUAAGUCGGGGCCUAAGGCCAGGUCGAAAGACGUAACCGAUGGACAACAGGUUGAAAUUCCUGUACCUUAAGUAAACAGAACUGUGGGGACACGUGUGGAGAGCACAAGCCGGAAAUGGAAAAGCCGGUGCAAGCGAGGUAGGAGUACAGUAGGCAAAUCCGCUGUACAAUCCGAAGACGUGAUGCGGACCGAAUUAAGAGUAGGGAAGUGUGUGAGCCAUGCGUCAAGAAAAGCCGCUAUUGUUUUACUUAAGCCCGUACCGUAAACCGACACAGGUGGAUGAGGAGAGAAUCCUAAGGCCGACGGGAGAAGCAUUGUUAAGGAACUCGGCAAAAUGACUCCGUAACUUCGGGAGAAGGAGUGCCAGUGAGAGCUGGCCGCAGAGAAUUGGCCCAAGCAACUGUUUAGCAAAAACACAGGUCUAUGCAAAACCGUAAGGUGAAGUAUAUGGGCUGACGCCUGCCCGGUGCUGGAAGGUUAAGGGGAGAGGUUAGCGCAAGCGAAGCUUUGAACUUAAGCCCCAGUAAACGGCGGCCGUAACUAUAACGGUCCUAAGGUAGCGAAAUUCCUUGUCGGGUAAGUUCCGACCCGCACGAAAGGCGUAAUGAUUUGGGCACUGUCUCAACGAUACACCCGGUGAAAUUGAAAUACCAGUGAAGAUGCUGGUUACCUGCGCCAGGACGGAAAGACCCCAUGGAGCUUUACUCCAGUUUGAUACUGGGAUUCGGCAUGGUAUGUACAGGAUAGGUGGGAGACUGAGAAGGUAUGACGUCAGUUGUACCGGAGUCGCUGUUGGGAUACCACCCUUACCAUGUUGGAUUUCUAACCUGUGGCCGUAAGCCGGUCAGGGGACAAUGUCAGGCGGGGAGUUUGACUGGGGCGGUCGCCUCCGAAAGGGUAUCGGAGGCGCUCAAAGGUUCCCUCAGAAUGGUUGGAAACCAUUCGAAGAGUGCAAAGGCAGAAGGGAGCUUGACUGUGACACCGACGGGUGGAGCAGGUACGAAAGUAGGACUUAGUGAUCCGGUGGUAUAAAGUGGGAUUGCCAUCGCUCAACGGAUAAAAGCUACCCUGGGGAUAACAGGCUUAUCACUCCCAAGAGUUCAC